ACCCUUGCCUGCCUGACCACGAGCUUGAAUAAACCCUGUUGUGCACUGAGCCUUGUCUCCGCUGUGCGUGUGGGUCCGCUACCUCGGAGUCCGUGACAGUACAAUCUGGCCACACUCGGACCCAGCCGGCGUCUUGCAUCAGUUUAAGGGCUGCAAGGGAUUUUUUGUUUUGUGUACUCGGACGACGCAGAGUCGCGAUGGUGUUUACCUGCUCGAGGCUGCCGGAGGACCUCCGCUGGUGCUUCGGGGAGCUCGCGAGGAAUUACGCGGAAGCCCCCAGUCUGAAGGCGCGGCUCCGCGUAAUAAAACAGGCGAUCGCUAUCCUGGAGGAGGAAUUUUGGUGGCUUGACUACCCGGAAGUGCAGACGCUUUUUGAGAAACUCCAGGCAGUACAGAGGGAUUUGGCACGCGCUCUGCGCGCGGCGCCCGCCGGCGUCUCAUCAGCUGUUCCGGCUGCACCGGAAAGCGCUCCUGUCGCUGCUCCGUCGAGUCAAGCUCACGUUCCUGUCGCUGCUCCGUCGAGUCAAGCUCACGUUCCUGUCGCUGCUCCGUCGAGUCAAGCUCACGUUCCUGUCGCUGCUCCGUCGAGUCAAGCUCACGUUCCUGUCGCUGCUCAGUCCAGCCAAGCCCAUGCCCACGUUACCGCCAUAGUUCCCCAGCCCAAUCCCGUCCGUGCCGUGGAUCCAGCCCCUGCCUCAGCCCUGGCGGAUGAGGAGGUGAAGCCCACAGCUAGUCGCCGGAGGCCCAGACGGCGUCGACGACAGCCGGAUUCCCCUGCCCAGGCUCCAGAAGACUCGGUCACGGAAAUCAGACUGCCUCCUUCGCCAGCAGAGGGCACUCUAGCCCCAUCAUACGACAUGCCCAUCUCCAUCGCAGGCAUCCCAGACAGCAUCUUCCUGCGGAUCCGUGCCCAAUGCGCCCCUCCGGUCCUGUUCCUGUUUGCACACUGGCUGAACUCCGCUGAGGCAGAGACCGACCCGGUAAGCAAGGAGCGUCACUUCCGUGAAGCCGCCCUGCUCAUCGCCCGGAAGCCUGCGCUGCGCGAGGCCCUGGGUUUCAUUGAACCCCCAUCAGAGCCUGCACCCGUUCCUGCGUCAGAGCCUGCACCCGUUCCUGCGUCAGAGCCUGCACCCGUUCCUGCGUCAGAGCCUGCACCCGUUCCUGCGUCAGAGCCUGCACCCGUUCCUGCGUCAGAGCCUGCACCCGUUCCUGCGUCAGAGCCUGCACCCGUUCCUGCGUCUAAGUCUGCCUCACUGGCCCCAGCGUCUAAGUCUGCCUCACUGGCCCCAGCGUCUAAGUCUGCCUCACUGGCCCCAGCGUCUAAGUCUGCCUCACUGGCCCCAGCGUCUAAGUCUGCCUCACUGGCCCCAGCGUCUAAGGCUGCACCACUGGCCCCAGCGUCUAAGGCUGCACCACUGGCCCCAGCGUCUAAGGCUGCACCACUGGCCCCAGCGUCUAAGGCUGCACCACUGGCCCCAGCGUCUAAGGCUGCACCACUGGCGGCAGCAACUCCCGCCCUAGCCUCACCUCAGCCGUGCCAAGCUCCAGCUCGCGCCUCACCUCAGCCAUGCCAAGCUCCAGCUCACGCCUCACCUCAGCCAUGCCAAGCUCCAGCCCAGCCUGCAGCAGCUCGAGCCUCAGCCCAGCCUGCAGCAGCUCGAGCCUCAG
ensembl:lncRNA